GAUGAACGCUGGCGGCGUGCCUAACACAUGCAAGUCGAGCGUGAUUUAUGAGGACGAAACUUCGGUCUAGGAAUCAUAAUGAAAGCGGCGGACGGGUGAGUAACGCGUAGGCAACCUGCCCUUAACACAGGGAUAGCCUCGGGAAACCGGGAUUAAAACCUGAUGAUGCCAAAGAGUCACAUGGCUCGUUGGCUAAAGAUUUAUCGGUUAAGGAUGGGCCUGCGUCUGAUUAGUUUGUUGGUGGGGUAACGGCCUACCAAGACUACGAUCAGCAGCCGACCUGAGAGGGUGAUCGGCCACAUUGGAACUGAGACACGGUCCAAACUCCUACGGGAGGCAGCAGUGGGGAAUAUUGCACAAUGGGCGAAAGCCUGAUGCAGCAACGCCGCGUGAGCGAUGAAGGCCUUUGGGUCGUAAAGCUCUGUCCUUGGGGAAGAAACAAAUGACGGUACCCAAGGAGGAAGCCCCGGCUAACUACGUGCCAGCAGCCGCGGUAAUAC
rnacentral:rRNA from 1 species